AAGGAAGAAUCCGAAAAUCCUGAUAGUAAAUAGAGUAGGAG
ncrna:unclassified sequences DTF805b RNA